AGCUCCAAUAGCGUAUAUUAAAGUUGUUGCGGUUAAAAAGCUCGUAGUUGGAUUUCUGCUGAGGACGAUCGGUCCGCCCUCUGGGUGAGUAUCUGGCUCGGCCUUUGCAUCUUCUUGAAGAACGUAACUGCACUUGACUGUGUGGUGCGGUAUGCAAGACUUUUACUUUGAGGAAAUUAGAAUGUUUGAAGUAGGCACAUGCCUUGAAUACAUUAGCAUGGAAUAAUAAUAUAGGACUUUAGCCCUAUUUUGUUGGUUUCUAGAGCUAGAGUAAUGAUUAAUAGGGAUAAUUGGGGGCAUUCGUAUUAACGCGUCAGAGGUGGAAUUCUUGGAUUGCGUUACGACGAACUACUGCGAAAGCAUUUGCCAAGGAUGUUUUCAUUGAUC
rnacentral:rRNA from 1 species